rnacentral:tRNA from 1 species
GCCCCUGUGGUGGAAUUGGUAGACGCGCGCGACUCAAAAUCGCGUUCCGAAAGGAGUGCUGGUUCGAUCCCGGCCAGGGGCA